AGCGAACGCUGGCGGCAGGCUUAACACAUGCAAGUCGAACGGCCACUUCGGUGCUAGUUGCAGACGGGUGAGUAACACGGGGGAACGUACCUUUCGGUUCGGAAUAAUCCAUGUACACGUGGACUAAUGCCGGAUACGCCCUUCUAGGAAAAGAUUCAUCGUCGAUAUAUCGGCCGGCGUCUGAUGAACUAGUUGGUGAGGAAAUGGCUCACCAAGGCUACGAUCAGUAGCUGGUCUGAGAGGAUGAUCAGCGACACUUGGACUGAGACACGGCCCAAACUCCUACGGGAGGCAGCAGUGGGGAAUAUUGGACAAUGGGCGCAAGCAUGAUCCAGCCAUGCCGCGUGAGUGAUGAAGGCCUUAGGGUUGUAAAGCUCUUUUGUACGGGAAGAUAAUGACUGUACCGAAAGAAUAAGCCCCGGCUAACUUCGUG
rnacentral:rRNA from 1 species